rnacentral:lncRNA from 1 species
AAUAGAUCAAACUCACCUUUGCAAAAUUCCAAACCAUUAUCUGUUCGAAAGCGCUUGAUUUUUUUCCCUGUCUGCUUCUCGAUCAAUGCCUUCCAUUGCAAAAAGGUGGUAAACACUUCACUUUUAGCCUUCAGAAAAUACGUCCAUACUUUUCUUGAAAAAUCAUCAAUAAAUGUUAACAUGUAUAAUGAUCCACCUUUUGAUGCCACAGGAGAAGGACCCCAUAAAUCUGAGUGGAUGUAGUCUACUGUACUCUUGGUUCGAUGUGUAGCAAUGCUAAAUUUCACUCGGUGUUGUUUGCCAUAGAUGCAAUGUUCACAGAAAUCUAUCUUCCCAGUCUUUUGACCACACAGUAAACCACGCUUACUCAAUUCUGUCAUUCCUUUCUCACUCAUAUGACCUAAUCUCAUAUGCCAUAAACGUGUAACAUCAUCAUCAGGAUCAUAGGAUGAGACUACAGAAGCAGUUCCAAUAAUCGUACUUCCCACUAGACGAUAAAGGCCACCGGAUAACUUACCUUUCAUGAUAGUUAAGGCUCAUUUAGAUAUCUUCAAGACACCAUCUUGGCCACUAUAUUUGCAACCUUUCUUAUCUAACAAACUCAAGGAUAUCAAAUUCUUUUUCAUGU